rnacentral:rRNA from 1 species
UGUGAAUUAAUUAUAAAGUCUGACCUGCCCACUGAUUGAUUUAAAGGGCCGCGGUAAUUUGACCGUGCGAAGGUAGCAUAGUCAGUAGUCUUUUAAUUGAAGGCUUGAAUGAAAGGUUGGACGAGGGAUGAGCUGUCUCUUUUACGUGGUUUGAAUUUAACUUUUGAGUGAAAAGGCUCAAAUUGCUUAGUGGGACGAUAAGACCCUAUAAAACUUGAUAUAAAUUUGAUUUAACUUGUAAUUUAAGUGAAAAAUGGUUUAAUAAAGUUUAUAUUUUAUUGGGGCGAUAUAGAUAUAAUAUGUAACUGUUUAUUAAAUUUAAUAAUUAUAAUUAGUGUGUGAUCCUUCUUUGUGGAUUAAAAGUAUAAGUUACUUUAGGGAUAACAGCGUGAUUUUCUUUGAGAGUUCUUAUCGACAAGAGUAGUUGCGACCUCGAUGUUGAAUUAAAAUUUCAGCUAGGUGUAGCCGUUUAGCUGGUAGGUCUGUUCGACCUUUAAAAUUUUACAUGAUUUGAGUUCAAACCGGU